rnacentral:rRNA from 1 species
GAGUUUGAUCGUGGCUCAGAUUGAACGCUGGCGGCAUGCCUUACACAUGCAAGUCGAACGGCAGCACGGGGGCAACCCUGGUGGCGAGUGGCGAACGGGUGAGUAAUACAUCGGAACGUGUCCUUUCGUGGGGGAUAACCAGUCGAAAGACUGGCUAAUACCGCAUGAGAUCUCACGAUGAAAGCGAGGGACCGCAAGGCCUCGCGCGAUUGGAGCGGCCGAUGUCGGAUUAGCUAGUUGGCGGGGUAAAAGCCCACCAAGGCGACGAUCCGUAGCUGGUUUGAGAGAACGACCAGCCACACUGGGACUGAGACACGGCCCAGACUCCUACGGGAGGCAGCAGUGGGGAAUUUUGGACAAUGGGCGCAAGCCUGAUCCAGCCAUGCCGCGUGUGUGAAGAAGGCCUUCGGUUGU